CCUACGGGGGGCAGCAGUGGGGAAUAUUGCGCAAUGGGCGAAAGCCUGACGCAGCGACGCCGCGUGAGGGAUGAAGGUCUUCGGAUCGUAAACCUCUGUCAGCAGGGAAGAACGGUCACUGUGCUAAUCAGCAGUGAAUUGACGGUACCUGCAAGGGAAGCACCGGCUAACUCCGUGCCAGCCGCCGCGGUAAUACGGAGGGUGCGAGCGUUAAUCGGAUUUACUGGGCGUAAAGCGCUCGUAGGCGGUAUGUCAAGUCAAGGGUGAAAUCCCCGCGCUCAACGUGGGAACUGCCUUUGAAACUGGCAAACUGGAGUGUGUGAGAGGAUAGUGGAAUUCGAGGUGUAGGAGUGAAAUCCGUAGAUAUCUGGAGGAACAUCAGUGGCGAAGGCGACUAUCUGGCACAUAACUGACGCUGAGGAGCGAAAGCGUGGGUAGCAAACAGGAUUAGAUACCCGAGUAGUC
rnacentral:rRNA from 1 species